rnacentral:lncRNA from 1 species
AAGGGGUUUAACUGUUAUGGGGCAUUUUAAUUCUUUGUUAUCUGUUAUUCUGAAAAUAUAUUUACUGUUAGCUGUAAUGGUCUUAUUCUUUGUUAGCUGUUAUAGGACUAUUAUCUAUUUUGUUAUCUGUUAUUGUGAGAAUCUAUUUGCUGUUAACUGUUAUCGAAAAUUGGAAUGUUAGCAUUUUGACAGCCAAUCUUCCGUAGAAAUUGAGGAUAACUGAAAAUUGUGAUUUGAAUGGAUAAUAGUCUCAUUGGCACGCUUACCAUAUCUUCUUACAAUGUAUAUCUAUUGGGGUCUUUCUACUAGUAAUAUCAGGUGGCCCUAUGCAGAAGAAUUUCAGUAACAUACAUCACAUAAACAUAUAAAAUCAAUUGGACCCAGGACCAUUCCAGUAUAUAUUAUUAUUAUCCUUUGUAAUAAAUUCCAUUGUCUGUGAACAUGUAGCAUUUUGUACAAAUUAUAAUUCACUUAUUACUUGUACAAUAACUUAUAGUAUGGAUUUUGUUAUAAAAAAAGUAUUGGUACACCCUUUAGAUUUUUUUUAUUCAAUGACCACAUAAUAAUCUUUAUGUUGUACAUACUAUUACACCACUGUCCCUGAUUAGGGGAGGAUUGGACACCAACUAGCAUGGUAAAGUUGACGCAGUCACAUUCUGUAUGUGCCUAUUUCCAAGUCAGGAGCCUGGAUUCAGUGGUUGUAGUUUGUUACUGUGUUAUUAAGUGUGUUUUAACUGCUUCACAUGGCGAAAAUUAAAGCUCAGAAACCAUUGAUUCAAAUACAGAUGUGUCUUCAGUUUAAUUUUUCGACAAAUACCCUUUUUAAAAUCCUACAGCUUCUCCAAUGCUGUACCCAAAUUUUCCAUAUUCUACAAUUUCACAUAAGAUACAUGAUUGGUGUUUCACUUGGUGUCAUCCAAAUUUUCACUAGGUCCAAUUUCUAUUAUACUAUCAGAAUUGUCACUUGAGUCAAUGUCUAUUAUCAGAAUAACCAUAACUGGCAUGCGUGUUUCAGUUACAUG